rnacentral:rRNA from 1 species
UUGCCGGAAAGGGCCUACCCAUGCAAGUCGAACGGUAGCACAGAGAGCUUGCUCUUGGGUGACGAGUGGCGGACGGGUGAGUAAUGUCUGGGAAACUGCCUGAUGGAGGGGGAUAACUACUGGAAACGGUAGCUAAUACCGCAUAACGUCUUCGGACCAAAGUGGGGGACCUUCGGGCCUCACACCAUCGGAUGUGCCCAGAUGGGAUUAGCUAGUAGGUGGGGUAAUGGCUCACCUAGGCGACGAUCCCUAGCUGGUCUGAGAGGAUGACCAGCCACACUGGAACUGAGACACGGUCCAGACUCCUACGGGAGGCAGCAGUGGGGAAUAUUGCACAAUGGGCGCAAGCCUGAUGCAGCCAUGCCGCGUGUAUGAAGAAGGCCUUCGGGUUGUAAAGUACUUUCAGCGAGGAGGAAGGCAGUCGUGUUAAUAGCACGAUUGAUUGACGUUACUCGCAGAAGAAGCACCGGCUAACUCCGUGCCAGCAGCCGCGGUAAUACGGAGGGUGCAAGCGUUAAUCGGAAUUACUGGGCGUAAAGCGCACGCAGGCGGUCUGUCAAGUCGGAUGUGAAAUCCCCGGGCUCAACCCGGGAACUGCAUUCGAAACUGGCAGGCUAGAGUCUUGUAGAGGGGGGUAGAAUUCCAGGUGUAGCGGUGAAAUGCGUAGAGAUCUGGAGGAAUACCGGUGGCGAAGGCGGCCCCCUGGACAAAGACUGACGCUCAGGUGCGAAAGCGUGGGGAGCAAACAGGAUUAGAUAUGCCUGGUAGUCCACGCCGUAAACGAUGUCGACUUGGAGGCUGUUCCCUUGAGGAGUGGCUUCCGGAGCUAACGCGUUAAGUCGACCGCCUGGGGAGUACGGCCGCAAGGUUAAAACUCAAAUGAAUUGACGGGGGCCCGCACAAGCGGUGGAGCAUGUGGUUUAAUUCGAUGCAACGCGAAAGAACCUUACCUACUCUUGACAUCCAGAGAACUUAGCAGAGAUGCUUUGGUUGCCGUUCGGAAACUCUGAGACAGGUGCUGCAUGGCUGUCGUCAGCUCGUGUUGUGAAAUGUUGGGUUAAAGUCCCGCAACGAGCGCAACCCCCUAUCCUUUGUUGCCAGCGGAAUUCGGUCCGGGACUCAAAGAGACUGGCCGUUGAAUAACCGGAAGAAAGGGGUGGGGGGAUUGAAAA